UACCCUUGACAUGUACCGAAUCCUGCUGAGAGGUGGGAGUGCCCGAAAGGGAGCGGUAACACAGGUGCUGCAUGGCUGUCGUCAGCUCGUGUCGUGAGAUGUUGGGUUAAGUCCCGCAACGAGCGCAACCCUUGUCACUAGUUGCUACGCAAGGGCACUCUAGUGAGACUGCCGGUGACAAACCGGAGGAAGGUGGGGAUGACGUCAAGUCCUCAUGGCCCUUAUGGGUAGGGCUUCACACGUCAUACAAUGGCGCAUACAGAGGGCUGCCAACCCGCGAGGGGGAGCCAAUCCCAGAAAGUGCGUCGUAGUCCGGAUUGCAGUCUGCAACUCGACUGCAUGAAGUCGGAAUCGCUAGUAAUCGCGGAUCAGCAAUGUCGCGGUGAAUACGUUCCCGGGUC
rnacentral:rRNA from 1 species